GUUGCACAAGCAACCGUCUCUAUGAGACGAACAUGUUUCGUUAUUGUUCUUUUUGGCUUGCUGGUUGCUAUUGAUUCAAGUUGUUGUUGAGGUUCCUGAGUUGGAAUCUCCUCUACUGGCUCUCCUUCCAGAGGGUAAUCUUCAUUUGUUUCCUCCUCUGCUUCUUGUGUAGGAAAAAUAAAUUUUCCCUCAAACUCCACCUGCUUAGAAGCACCUUCAUUUUGUUUGGUAUCUUCUGUUACCUUAUUUACCAUAGCAGAUUCAUCAAAGGUAACAUCCCUGCUGAAUAUUACUUUCUUUGUCAUAGGACACCAUAAGCGAUAUCCUUUGACUCCAGAAGUAAUUCCCAUAAAAAUAGCCUUCUUUGCCCUUGGAUCCAAUUUUGACUCCGUCACAUGAUAAUAUGCAGUUGAGCCAAACACGUGCAAAGAGUUAUAAUCUAUAGCAGGUUUUCCAUACCAUUUUUCAAAUGGUGUCUUGCCAUCAAUAGCAGCAGAUGGUAAGCGAUUAAUGAGGUGGCAUGCAUAUGUAACUGCCUCAGCCCAAAAUUCUUUGCCCAAGCUAGCAUUGGACAACAUACACCGUACCUUCUCCUGCAAGGUCCGGUUCAUACGUUCAGCCACUCCAUUCUGUUGUGGUGUAUGUCUGACAGUUAAGUGUCGGACGAUGCCAUCAUUUUGACAGACCUUAUUGAAAUGAUCAUUUUUGUAUUCACCUCCAUUGUCUGUGCGAAUACACUUGAUCCUCUUGCCUGUUUGAUUCUCAACCAUCGUCUUCCAUUUGAGAAAAAUUCCCAGCACUUCAUCUUUGUUUUUCAUUGUAUACACCCACACUCUUCGAGAAAAAUCAUCAACAAAGGUUACAAAAUAGUGCUUCCCACCCAAUGAAGGUGUUUUGGAAGGACCCCAAACAUCAGAGUGUACAUAAUCCAAAAUACCUUUAGUAUUAUGGAUCGCUGUACCAAAUUUAACCC
rnacentral:lncRNA from 1 species